GAACACUUUUGGUCAGUACUUGAAGAAUCAGAGGCCUCCAGUAGCUCUUUCUCAGUGCAAUUGCAACCAUGUUCUUGAAUUCCUGAGAUAUCUAGAUCAGUUUGGCAAGACUAAGGUUCAUCUUCAAGGUUGCAUGUUUUAUGGGCAGCCUGAGCCUCCUGCUCCAUGUACCUGCCCUCUCAGGCAGGCUUGGGGAAGCCUUGAUGCCCUCAUCGGUAGGCUACGAGCUGCUUAUGAAGAAAAUGGAGGUCCUCCUGAGACUAACCCUUUUGCCAGUAGUGCUAUUCGCGUGUAUCUAAGGGAGGUUAGGGACUGUCAGGCUAAGGCAAGAGGUAUUCCAUACAAGAAGAAGAAGAAGAAGCCCAGUAGCAAAGGAGAUGAUGAAUCAAGCUCCGCCAUGCACUUCUAGUCUUACAUGUUCAUAUCCUUUUCUGGAUAUUUUACUAUAUGGAUCUUGUUGAAGUGCAUGUGGUUGGAGAAUCAAGAACUGGAAGAAAAUUGUUAAAAGGGAUAGUGAAUAUUUUUGAAGUUGCUGUUUAUUUCUUUGCUGUCAAUUGCGUAUAUGAUGCAUGGUAUCGUCAUAGGGAUGGAGCUGAUGAUCUUUUGAAGUACUUGCUGUAACUUUUUCUUUGCUAUCAAUUGAGUAUAUGAUGGUAUGAUCAAGGGAUAUGGAGCUGAUGAUCUUCAAGAACUCUUCUCUCGCAGGAUGUUCUAAUGAUUUUUUUCUCUCUCUCCCUUUAUUAUUUGCCGUUCCUGAAUUUGUAAGCUUGCUUUUGCAGUACAUCUAUCUCUAUGUUUUGCAUAUAUGCCACUGUUGUUAUCUCAACACUAAUAUGAUUGCAAUAUAUAUAUUUUUUCUCCUUUU
rnacentral:misc_RNA from 1 species